GGGUCUGGAAAAGACCAAUGGGGAGCUUGCAUGUGAGAUCUCUUGGGGGAACUUCGAAGCACUCUGUUAAUGAAAAGGAUCCCAGUGGCCUCUCUACUCCACCUUUGAAUCUGGGCUUCUUCAUGGUCCUUCCAGUUCCUUUUCUGACUCUCUGCUUUCCCUGGAUGAGAGUCGAGGCUUCAGAACUAUAUAGUCUUGUGAUUUAAAACAUCUACGGAGGUUCUUGGAGAAGUGAUAGAUUACAGAGCUGGGGCAGGGAUAAGACAAGAUGUGCCUGCAGGAUCUUAUAGUACCAAAAAGCAAGGCAGUGCUAAAGAUGGGGGCAUGUUGAAAGGACACAGGAGCCAAUCAAAGAACUCUCAAUGGCCGAAGCCGAAACUGAUUUCAGCCACAAAAGAAAGUAUCAGUUAAUGAAACAAGAUAAAUACUCAGAAGAACAAGAUAAAUACUCAGAAGUCCAUACCAAUAUAUAUUAAUUAUUAAAUAAAUCAGUACAUGCUGGAGAAAGGACAACUCCUCCUAACAGAAGAAUUCCAAUUAAUAAAUGUAAAAGGAAAUAAGGAAAUAGCAAGUCAUCGUUAGAACACUAGUAAACACUGCUGUAGCCAGCAUCCACCUAUAAAAGCUAAAAUUAGUGGGCAAAAGUUGAAAGGGAAAGUAGGUAUUUGCAUAGCCUUAGCGAAUGUGGUAUCUUUCCCAUGUAUGACUUCAAUAUGAUCACAAGAAAUGUGCAAAUUUGAGGGACAUUUUACAGAAUACCUGACUGGUAUUCACUGAGAAUGUCAAGGUCCUGGAAAACUGAUAAACUGAAGAACUGUCACAGACUGGGGGAGACUAAAGAGACACAAUCACUAAUGUGGAGCCCGAGACUGGGCCUUGGGAUAGAAGAAGGACAUGGGCGAGAAACUGGUGAAAUCAAAAUAAAGUGUGUAAUCUACUUGUAGUAUUGAGCCAAUGUUAAUUUCUUACUUUUGACCAUCGGUUGUGCAAGAUGCUAAUUCUGGGGUGAAGGAUUUAUGGCAACUCUAUACUAUCUUCUCAGAUCUUCCAUCAAUAUAAAGUUAUUUCUGAAUAAAAUAUUCUGAAUAAAAACCUUAAAAACCAGCAAACGAAGUAUCUAUUACACAGAGAACUCCCAAUCCUCCAUGUCUCUGGAGGGACCUUUCUUUUUUCGAAUCU
rnacentral:lncRNA from 1 species